rnacentral:rRNA from 1 species
AUUGAACGCUGGCGGCAUGCUUUACACAUGCAAGUCGAACGGUAACAGGCCGCAAGGUGCUGACGAGUGGCGAACGGGUGAGUAAUGCAUCGGAACGUGCCCAGUCGUGGGGGAUAACGCAGCGAAAGCUGCGCUAAUACCGCAUACGAUCUAUGGAUGAAAGCGGGGGACCGUAAGGCCUCGCGCGACUGGAGCGGCCGAUGUCAGAUUAGGUAGUUGGUGGGGUAAAGGCUCACCAAGCCAACGAUCUGUAGCUGGUCUGAGAGGACGACCAGCCACACUGGGACUGAGACACGGCCCAGACUCCUACGGGAGGCAGCAGUGGGGAAUUUUGGACAAUGGGCGCAAGCCUGAUCCAGCAAUGCCGCGUGCAGGAAGAAGGCCUUCGGGUUGUAAACUGCUUUUGUACGGAACGAAACGGCUCUCUCUAAUACAGGGGGUUAAUGACGGUACCGUAAGAAUAAGCACCGGCUAACUACGUGCCAGCAGCCGCCGCAGUAA